rnacentral:rRNA from 1 species
AGCGAACGCUGGCGGCAGGCCCAACACAUGCAAGUCGAACGAACCCCUCGGGGUUAGUGGCGGACGGGUGAGUAACACGUGGGAACGUGCCUUUAGGUUCGGAAUAACUCAGGGAAACUUGUGCUAAUACCGAAUGUGCCCUUCGGGGGAAAGAUUUAUCGCCUUUAGAGCGGCCCGCGUCUGAUUAGCUAGUUGGUGAGGUAAUGGCUCACCAAGGCUACGAUCAGUAGCUGGUCUGAGAGGAUGACCAGCCACAUUGGGACUGAGACACGGCCCAAACUCCUACGGGAGGCAGCAGUGGGGAAUCUUGCGCAAUGGGCGAAAGCCUGACGCAGCCAUGCCGCGUGGAUGAUGAAGGUCUUAGGAUUGUAAAAUCCUUUCACCGGUGAAGAUAAUGACUGUAGCCGGAGAAGAAGCCCCGACUAACUUCGUGCCAGCCGCCGCGGUAAGAC